ensembl:lncRNA
UCGCUAAAAACAAAUAUAUAUAAUUGUAAAUGUAAAUAUAUUUAUUUCUAUUUAAUUUUAUAAAAAACAUCAAUAAUUUUACAAUUUUAACGUUUUUUUCUGUUUUUUUUAUGGUUACUCAUAUUUUUUACAAAUAAAAUAAUUUUUAUUUAAAAAAAAAAAAAAUAAAUAAAAAUAGAAAAAAAAAAAAAAAAAAAAAAUCAAUCAAACGUUUAAAAUGAAAAAAUUGUAUAUUUCAUUGUUAUGCCUUAUAUUUUAUUUUUGCUGUUCGGAACUGGCAUAUACCGGUAGUAGUGGUGGUUUUGUAACAAACAAAACAGGUGAUAAGAAUCCAAAUGGAGUACAAGAAACAGCUACGUUAACAAAAAGCCCAAUUCAACUAGAAGUAAAUACUAAAGAAACUAGUAUACCAGACAAUAAUGAAUAUACAAUGAUAAGAAAAAAAAAAAAAAACGCAAUUACGCUCGAUGCUAAUUAUGAAGAAUUAAUGACGUAUCUGAAAAAAAUUAUAAAUGGAGAAAUAACUAAGUAUCAUCAUGGUAUGAAUAAUCUAACUCUUUUAUUUAUGUCGAAUAUUACAGCCAAUGUUUUACCACAGUUUAACGGUUACUCUAUACUUUUUUUUAAUUAUACUAAUAAUGGUAAUUCAAACUCUCAAAUUAAUAUUGAUGCAAAAAUUUUAACAUGUCAACAUAAUAAUGAAAAGACAAAAUGUAAUAAAACAUAUAAAAAAGAAUUUCAAAAUAUUAUUAUAGAUAAAAACCAAAAAGAGGAUUUUUAUAACAGCAUAUUUAUGUUAUCAACUAUAUACACUACACAUAUUAAUAUCGACGACAAAGAUUUCAAAUCAGGUUACUUCGCAUACUUUGUACAUUAUUCCUACGCUGUUGAAUUGACAUUAAAUGUACUCGUUACUACUAUCGUUAUAUGUACAACUAAAACCAAUAAAAAAAAUUGUGAAAUGUUAAACCCUCUUCCACUCGAUGAACAGUGGUAUCCAAAUCUGUGUUAUUAUUUUAAUGAACUGCAUAUCCCCAUACAAACGUUUAAAUCUUCAACUGGCUGUACUUUUGAUCCACUAUAUAAAAAUCUAAUAACUUCACAUGAUAAUCUAAAUCAACUUUACAAGUUAAAUUAUAUUACAUAUGCGCGUUCCAAUUAUGUAUAUGAUCCGCUAUCACCUAUUUUAAUAAUUUUCUGUAAUAUAAUAAAAAUAAAUAAGGAAAAUUGUUUAAAUAUGUUUACCGAUAUAAACAAUGACAUAAAAAAUGGUAAUAUAGAAACUAAAAUAUUUUUAAAAACAUGUAUGGGAUUUUAUUAUAACGAAGCAGAACAACUAGAUAAAACUGAUCCUACAAAAAUAUAUCAAAAAAGCGAAGAUAGCGCAAAAAAUGAAGCGACAACUCGUGAUAAAUUACUAAAGCAACUUAUAAAAAAUGUAGAUGAUGGUGACAUCAACCGUUGUAAAGAAACUUACAACCAAUUAAAACUCAGUUCUAAAGAAAGCUCUAUCAUAUCAGAAUCCAGUCUCACAAAAAAUACCACUAAAUCAGCAUAUAGCUCUCAAGGAAAUGACACUGAAUCAGAAUCCAGUGCUACAAUUUCUGAUUUAAUUUAUGGUGUAUUUUUAUUAAUACUUACAAUUCAUAUGUUUUAAUAAUUAUAUUUAAAUUAAAAUUUUUAAAAAUACGAUAAUAGUUUAUUUCACAUGUGCAUAUAUAUUAAAUUAUGUAAAUACAUUUUUAUUUUGUCUGAAACAAAUUAAUAAUACAUAGUUUAUUAAAGCCACAGCAAAAUUUAAUAUUAUUAUUUAUCGUUCUUAUCAUUUUUUUCAUUUGUAUUUAUUUUUUUUUUUUUUUUUUUUACACAUACAUAUUAC